GGUAAAAUGGCCGAGCGUCCAGGCGGUGGGCCGUAGCCCCACCGACAGGGGUUUAACUCCUCUUUUUAUCA
rnacentral:tRNA from 1 species